AGCCGUGUAGCUCAACCGGUGGAGCAACUGGCCUGAAAACCAGGAGGUUGUGAAUUCAAAUCUCACCACAGUUA
rnacentral:tRNA from 1 species